UACGAAGGGGGCUAGCGUUGCUCGGAAUCACUGGGCGUAAAGGGCGCGUAGGCGGCCAUUCAAGUCGGGGGUGAAAGCCUGGGGCUCAACCCGAGAAUUGCCUUCGAUACUGUUUGGCUUGAGUAUGGUAGAGGGUGGUGGAACUGCGAGUGUAGAGGUGAAAUUCGUAGAUAUUCGCAAGAACACCGGUGGCGAAGGCGGCCAACUGGACCAUUACUGACGCUGAGGCGCGAAAGCGUGGGGAGCAAACAGG
rnacentral:rRNA from 1 species